rnacentral:lncRNA from 10 species
GCAAAAUAUUAUAUGUAAGUGUUUAAAAUUGUCAUUCUCCUCAUUCAGGAAGAUUUCUGUAUUUGUCUUCUUAACUCUUGAGUUUUGUUGUUGCUAAUAUUGGAUGAAGAGGAGACAAAAUGAUUGGAUCUAGAGGAGCACCGACAAGCAAAUGGCAGAGUCCUCAGAAGGGAAGAUAGUGUUAAUGUAGAAUUGAUAACACAGAAUGCACCACUGCUGUGAUCCUUAUAUCUUGGCUGGCCAUUACCCCUCCACUUGGAAAUGAAAAAGAUAAACUAAUUGAAGCAGUGAGAAGAGAAAAAGGGAGAGGAAGGUGCUAUUGUGGAGGUGCAUACCCAACAGUUUGAUAAUGUAGAGGAAGUGAUAGCUUUGUCUCGUGGAAUCUGGGUCGACCUCACAGAGGAGCUGUUAUUUGUUCUGGAUAUUGAACAGUGACAAGGAUUCAGUGGGAGAGAAAGAGGCGAGGAUUUUAAUGCAACUUGUUACACAAGAUGAACCCAAACAUAUUUGACUUUUUAUUUUCAGAAAAGCUUAAUACAUAGUUUUGAAUAUGGU